GGGAGGUGUAUCCUGUGCUCCCUGGGAGGUAUGAUCCUGUGCUCCCUGGGAGGUGUAUCCUGUGCUUCCU
rnacentral:pre_miRNA from 2 species